ACUCAAGACAGAGCUUAAAUUGGAAAUUGUUGAGCGAAAAAAGGAAAUAUAUGAAACUCUUCUCAAAUCUAUCUCGACCACAAUGCAGCCAUGCUAUCAGAGUAAGUUACUGUUAUUUAAUUUGAUGAUACAUUUUAAUUUAAUCCUAACAUAGAAAAGUGAACACUGCUUUGUAUUAGACGCUGCUGCUCAUAGUGGGAAGGGCUCUAUGAGGAAGAAGCAGGAAAUUCUGUUGAACCACAUAGAAUCAUCAAAGAGUGAAAUGUUCCAGAAGGCAAAGACUGAGAUGCUUGAUGAGCUGUAUGAAACACUGGUUUGUAUUUCUCCCAUUGAAGCAAAUUUAUGGUUAUCAACAUGUAAAUAAAAUGUAAUUUUUAUGCAAAUGUAUCAUUUGUUAGAAUUUUUAUAUUCACAUUCUCUUUAAAAGAAUUACACCAUGAAGAAGAUAAGAAAAACAUUAACGGAAUCAAUGGAAUACUCACUUUGCAGUGCAAGCACCUUGCCUUACAUGGAUGUUUCCAAGGAAAUAGAGAAAAUGGAAGAAUUGAAAAGGUUCACUCAAGACUGAGCUCAUUUAUCCAAAAAAGAAGUCCAAGGAUGUUUGGUGGAAAUCUCACUCCACUGCUGCUGGCUAAUUUGAUGAUGUUAUGUAUCAGAGUUCAGUAUGUUAUCAGUCACACGACAUUUAAUCUGCCCUGUAGGCCAAAUGUUUUGAUAUUUCAAAUAUUACAUUAGUAUCUUUUACUUUGAGGUCUCUCAUAUUAAAAUACUGUUCAAACUGUCUAUUACGACUUUAUCCAAAGACUAUAAAACAUUUUUCUUAUAAAUUUCUUAGAAUUUCUUUCUACAUAAUCUUGAUUGAAAAAAUGUAACUGUUGCAGCAUAAUUUUAUAGGACAGUUUGAAAACAAUCAGUAGCCAGACCUGCAUUUAUCGCUUUGUCUUUUAAUAUUAGUCAUGUAUAACAAUGGUUGAGGGUUAUUUGUCAUUAUCUUAUUCUAACAAUUGGUUGGCUGUAAGUAUACAUUCAGCUCAUUGAUAAACAUACUUUUGCUGUUGAUAUGGCAGCUGUUCUGAGAGUCACUGGCUACAAAUUUUGACAUUUUGCAACAAAGUACUUCAUCAUAUUGGCAUUGUUCUGUAUCUCCUACCUGCUGUCACUUACUUUUCCUAAUUUUGAUUGUUCACGUCAGUGAUUACUAGACUGCAUACACUGAAGUGAUUUCAAUGAUUUUCUUUUUAUAUACAUACAGAUUUAGUAAACGCUUGUCUUAUUUAACUGGGAUUGGUUUGUAAAUGAAAUAAAGCAUUUAAUCUGAU
ensembl:lncRNA